rnacentral:lncRNA from 1 species
AGACCCAAAGCGAAGACGAAACUUGCCGCACAAACUGGUUUAACCGCCAUUGAAGUUGAAAACCAAACUUUCACACCACAAAUAUGGAGCUCAGCUGGGUAUGUUUAUGCGUGUGUAUAUAUGUGUGGGUGCGUAUGCAACCAAACAAUAUUUAAUGAGAGGCGUCUAGAGCCUGAGUUUAGUGGUUGGUUUUGAUGAAGUGCAAUUAAUGUCGUCUCCUUCUAUCUAUCAUCGGUAUUGUUGAUGACAUGAAAACUCUUUUAACCUUGAGCAUGAAAUAUAUUAAUUUUACUGGUGUUAGCUAGAUAUAAAGACAUCACAAGAGUGCCCCACCCGUAUUCAUGAUUUCCGUACGUAAUGUUGACUAUAAUUCACUCUUCUCAUUUCUUAUCUAUACAUACUUAAAUUUUAUGAAAUUACUUACUGAAAAAUUUGUGUACAUCCACUUAUCUACUAUGUAGAUUUGAGUUGAGUUGGUUUGUAUGUUUUAUAUUUAUUUAUGUUAAAGAGACUGAUUGUGUUAUUAUUGAUAUACAAUGUAAUUCUAAGUGCUAUUUUGUAAUUGCAGAUAGUCCUUUCUAAAGGUGAUAUACAUCGUCUUUUACCACCUAUAAGUACAAGUUUAAAAAUAAUAUUGCUUAAACUUAUUAUAUAAGUACGUAGUAAAUAAGAAAAAUGAACAUGUCAUAAUAUACGUAGGCGAAAUUAGGAUCCAGCCAACUUAGAUUUAUUUUUCUUUCACUACAAAGUCUCACCUUUUAGGAAUCUCUUUAGCAUACUCCCUCAACUUUACUCUUCACGACCGUAGGAAGAAUGGUAGGUAUAUAUGUGAUCAUAGUAAUUGUAUUAGCACUAGGCAGGUGUCUGUUUUUCCAACUGGCCAAUCUUGACUCCACUUUAUCAAGAACAGGUUUCUAAAUUUGCGUGAUGUUAGUUCUAGCACCAAAGGAAAGCUAAGAAAAGUAAAAGGUAAGGAACCAACACCACAACGAUUUUAUCUAGCCCAGUCAUGCAAGUCAGUUUCAACACCUGACGUUAAAUGAGGGAGCUCUUCCAAAAGUUAAUCAGAAGCAUCCAAGAAUCCGCUUGACAACUUUGAUGUCUUCGAGAGAUGGUCGAAAAAAAAUCAAAAUGACAACCUUAAAAAGACGUUUGGAAAGUGUCUUGACAAUAAUCUUGUACAUGCACCUAACAAGAGAAACGGGACGAAAAUCCUUCAAGCAUAUCAGUUGUUCCUUUAUAAGAAUCAAGGUGAUGAAAGAGGCAUUAAGGGCUUCACAAAAUUUCUAGUGGAGUGAAAUUCAUUCUUCGCCUACAUCAUUUCAUCUUUAAUGGAGGACCAACACGUCCCGAUAAAGCUAAAGUUAAACCCAUCCUGCAGGCACUUUAUUCCCAUCUAUAUAUCACGCAGCUCCACACACUUCAUCCUUCCUAAAGUGAUCCUCAAGCAUGGACACGUGGAUGUCGGAAAAGACUUGUCAUGUUUGAGUUAUCUGAAUCACAUUGCAGCACUAGCUUUUUUCUGAAAGUGCAGACUGAAAAGGAGUAAAUUUACUCCUCCAUCUUUCUUGGAUUGGAAAAAAGAGAGCCCUCAUGCUUGAUGAACGCCAUCUUAUUCACCCUUUUCUUGCGUAUGACAGCUUGCUGCUUAAACCUUGUAAUCUUUACCACCUUCGUCGAGCCAGGUAAUUUGAGAUCUCUGUCUCCAUUUGGUUUCUUUAAUUGUAAUUAAAUCCCAAUUUCAUUUUAUUUCAGAACUUUCCAUGGCCGUUCUCCCUCUUUCUCUCCAUCAUCAAUAUUUCAAAUAUUGCAAUGUUAUCUCUCUCUGAACUCUAAGCCCC